GGGCGAAUGGUUUAGUGGUAUAAUACUCCCUUAGCAUCUGCGAGCUUCUGGCUCCAUGCUUGGGAGUGGUCCGGGGUUCGAUUCCCCGUUUGUCCA